UUGAGCCUUGAUGUGUAGGAUAGGUGGGAGGCUUAGAAGUGUGGACGCCAGUCUGCAUGGAGCCGACCUUGAAAUACCACCCUUUAAUGUUUGAUGUUCUAACGUUGACCCGUAAUCCGGGUUGCGGACAGUGUCUGGUGGGUAGUUUGACUGGGGCGGUCUCCUCCUAAAGAGUAACGGAGGAGCACGAAGGUUGGCUAAUCCUGGUCGGACAUCAGGAGGUUAGUGCAAUGGCAUAAGCCAGCUUGACUGCGAGCGUGACGGCGCGAGCAGGUGCGAAAGCAGGUCA
rnacentral:rRNA from 1 species